rnacentral:misc_RNA from 1 species
UUUCCAUUCGUCCCCGACCAG